CCUGCCAGUCAUAUGCUUGUCUCAAAGAUUAAGCCAUGCAUGUCUGAGUACAGACCUAUCUAAGGUGAAACCGCGAAUGGCUCAUUAAAUCAGUCAUAAUUCCUUGGAUAGUGAUAAAACUUCCUCGGAUAACUGUGGAAAAUCCAGAGCUAAUACGUGCAACUGAGCUCCGACCUCGGCGCGAGUCGUGGGAAGAGCGCAUUUAUUAGAUUCAAAACUGACCGGCGUACUCCUUCGGGAUACGUCGUUUGUCAAAAGUUUGAUGACUCCGGAUAACUUAGCCGAGCGCUACGGUCUUUAGUACCGGCGCCGUAUCUUUCAAGUGUCUGCCUUAUCAGCUUUCGAUUGUAGGUUAAACGCCUACAAUGGCUGUAACGGGUAACGGGGAAUCAGGGUUCGAUUCCGGAGAGGGAGCCUGAGAAACGGCUACCACAUCUAAGGAAGGCAGCAGGCACGCAAAUUACCCACUCCCAGCAAGGGGAGGUAGUGACGAAAAAUAACGAUGCGAGACUCUUCCGAGGCCUCGCAAUCGGAAUGAGUCCAUUUUAAAUCCUUGGACGAGGAUCCAUUGGAGGGCAAGUCUGGUGCCAGCAGCCGCGGUAAUUCCAGCUCCAAUAGCGUAUAUUAAAGUUGCUGCGGUUGAAAAGCUCGUAGUUGGACUUUCUAGAUCCAUUUCGCGGGUGAGUCGCUCUUUGUACUGGCGUCUCGCGCGGUUCCUUGAUGACGAAUGGUCUCGUUCGCUCGUUUUUCUUUCGGGAAAUUCGUCGCGUUCGGACGUUCAGAUUCUCGCGGACGGCGAGCGUUGUCUCCGAGUAUAGCUCGCCCGCGUUUGGUACAAUUAAAAAUUUGUCGGCUCGCUCGGAGUGCUCUUUACCGAGUGUUCCAGGGUGGCUGACACGUUCACUUUGAAAAAAUUAGAGUGCUUAAAGCGGGCUUAUUUACGGCCUGAAUGUCUGUGCAUGGAAUGAAGUAACAGGACCUCGAUUCUGUUGUUUUUGUCGGUUUUAAUGAACCGAGGUAAUGAUUAAAAGGGACAGACGGUGGCAUUAGUAUUGCGACGCUAGAGGUGAAAUUCUUGGACCGUCGCACGACUAACUACUGCGAAAGCAUUUGCCGAGAAUGUUUUCAUUAAUCAAGAACGAAAGUUAGAGGAUCGAAGGCGAUCAGAUACCGCCCUAGUUCUAACCCUAAACUAUGCUAACUAGCGAUCCGCCGGAGUCAUUCCCACGACCCGGCGGGAAGCCCCAGGGAAACCAAAGUCUUUGAGUUCCGGGGGAAGUAUGGUUGCAAAGCUGAAACUUAAAGGAAUUGACGGAAGGGCACCACCAGGAGUGGAGCCUGCGGCUUAAUUUGACUCAACACGGGAAACCUCACCAGGCCCGGACGUGAUAAGGAUUGACAGGUUGAGAGCUCUUUCUCGAUUUGACGGGUGGUGGUGCAUGGCCGUUCUUAGUUGGUGGAGUGAUCUGUCUGGUUGAUUCCGAUAACGAACGAGACUCUACCCUACUAACUAGUCGGCGGAUCGAUACCCUGAGAUGGUUAGUCGGUAUAAGGGAGUUUUGCCGAAAACGAUCGAGUCUCCACAAUGGGAGAGCGUGCUAUCUCGCCCGCUUAGCGGCGGUGUCGAUUCGCGUCUCUCUCGUAGGUUUCUCUUUCGUCCAAGCUGCUCUCCGAUUACUACUACUGCUGGGGGCGUCCGUCGCAAUGUAUCUUCUUAGAGGGAUCAGCGGCGUAUAGCCGCACGAGAAAGAGCAAUAACAGGUCUGUGAUGCCCUUAGAUGUUCUGGGCCGCACGCGCGCUACAAUGUACAGUACAGCGUGCUUUCCAUCUCCGAAAGGAGCGGGUAACCCGUUGAAACCCGUACUCACUUGGGAUUGGGGAUUGCAAUUAUUUCCCAUAAACCAGGAAUUCCCAGUAAGCGCGAGUCACUAACUCGCGCUGAUUACGUCCCUGCCCUUUGUACACACCGCCCGUCGCUACUACCGAUUGAAUGAUUCAGUGAGGGCAUCGGACUGGCCCUUCGGUUUAGUGUUCUAGACCUUAGGCUGACGGAAAGAUGUCCGAACUUGAUCAUUAGAGGAGUAAAAGUCGUACAGGUUUCCGUA
rnacentral:rRNA from 1 species